rnacentral:lncRNA from 1 species
UGGAAACAUGCCAAUUUAGCACCAGCAUUCAAAAAAGGGGGAAAAUAUAAACCAGAAAAUUACCAUCCUAUAUCAUUGACAUGUAUUUCCUGUAAACUUAUGGAGCAUAUCAUCAACCAUCUUGAAAAGAACAAUAUACUGUAUGACCUCCAGCAUGGCUUCAGUCAGUCUAGAUCUUGCGAAACUCAACUGAGUGCCAUUUCAUUCAUCCAAGAACUUUAAUGCAGCAUGCAAAUAACAAC